UAAAAAAAAACAAAAAAACAUAUCAUCGGGGGCAGGUAGCACAUGGUUCGGUAUGUCUAGGCAGGUACGUAUAUCUUCCUGUUUCCCUAGCUGCGAUCGUGUAAUUAAGCAAACCGUUCGAUCAAGUCAUAACAAUAUAUAGUUUUCCCACACAGGGGACGGUGCUAAAAUAGUGCAUAUCAAAUGAGAGAACUGAUAUGGUGUCAUAUGUUUGCUACCUCUGUCUCACAUCCUGUCUUCAGUGUUGUCUGUGUUGGUGUUUUGAUUUAAAUGGUUUUUAUUGUUGAUUCAGUGAGUAUGGAGGUAUCCAGCAAGUUACGGUAUAUGGCACAUGGUCACCUGUGCAGGGGUUUACAUGAACAUAACCGGAACAAUUAUAUUAUUUCAGCUGGUGUGU